AUGAUCGUUUCCUAUGAUCGCAGCUUUCUAAAACCUUCAGUACAGGAUGGAAGGCCCAUACUCUCAUGGACGCCACCACCUGUGGGCUGGGUAAAAUUGAACUCUGAUGGGUCUUUUGCUCCGGAUGGUGCAGGAGCGGGCAUGGUAUUGCGAGAUCCUCAGGGAACAAUCAUCUUCUCAGCGUGCAGGAAAUUUUUCUCUUGUCGUGAAGCAUUGGAGGCGGAGCUGAGCGCCUGUAUGGAAGGUUUAUCACUGGCGAUUCAGAGAAGUGAUUUCCCGGUCAUAGUGGAGAUGGAUUCAUUAAUGGCAGUGAAGAUGAUCCAAGGCAAAGAACAAGAUAGAUCCAUUUAUACUUCUUUAGUUAAAGAGAUUAGGUAUCUCUGUUCCCUUCGUGAGGUUUGUAUUACUCAUGUGAGCCGUCUAUAA
rnacentral:rRNA from 1 species